CCCUUGGCUCAACCAGAAGGGCAUUUGAAACUGUCUGGCUUGAUACGGGAGGGGGAAGUGGAAUUCCCGGUGUAAAGUGAAAUUUGUAGAUAUCGGGAGGAACACCGGUGGCGAAGGCGGCUUCCUGGACCGAUACUGACGCUGAGACGCGAAAGCGUGGGGAGCAAACAGGAUUAGAUACCCUGGUAGUCCACGCUGUAAACGUUGGGCACUAGGUGUUGUGGGUAUUGACCCCUGCAGUGCCAAGGGCGAAUUCCACAGUG
rnacentral:rRNA from 1 species